rnacentral:rRNA from 1 species
CGGCGGACGGGUGAGUAACGCGUGGGUAACCUGCCCCUCAGCCCGGGAUAACCGUCGGAAACGAUGGCUAAUACCGGAUGCUGUAUACAUAUCGCAUGAUGUGUAUACGAAAGUUCAGGCGCUGAGGGAUGGGCCCGCGUCCCAUUAGCUAGUUGGUGAGGUAACGGCUCACCAAGGCGACGAUGGGUAGCCGGCCUGAGAGGGUGACCGGCCACACUGGGACUGAGACACGGCCCAGACUCCUACGGGAGGCAGCAGUCAGGGAUCUUCCACAAUGGGCGAAAGCCUGAUGGAGCGACGCCGCGUGAGGGAUGAAGGUCUUCGGAUCGUAAACCUCUGUCUUCCGGGACGACAAUGACGGUACCGGAGGAGGAAGCCACGGCUAACUACGUGCCAGCAGCCGCGGUAAUACGUAGGUGGCGAGCGUUGUCCGGAAUUACUGGGCGUA